rfam:Capsella rubella cultivar Monte Gargano unplaced genomic scaffold scaffold_1, whole genome shotgun sequence.
AGAAUGAGGAUGAGCCAAGGAUGACUUGCCGAUUUUAUCAACAAAUCUUGACUGAUUAUGAUUGUUCGGCAAGUUGACUUUGGCUCUGUUUCCUUCAUG